CGGGGGGCUGCAGUAGGGAAUAUUGCGCAAUGGCCUAACGGCUGACGCAGCAACGCCGCGUGGAUGACGAAGCUUUUCGGAGUGUAAAAUCCUUUCAGUGGGGAAGAAUGUGUCUUCGGACGCUUGACGGUACCCACAGAAGAAGCACCGGCUAACUCCGUGCCAGCAGCCGCGGUAAUACGGGGGGUGCAAGCGUUGUUCGGAUUUACUGGGCGUAAAGCGCACGCAGGCGGGCUGUCAAGUCGGAUGUGAAAACCAGGAGCUUAACUCCUGGCCUGCAUACGAUACUGGCAGUCUUGAGUACCGGAGAGGAUGGCGGAAUUCCUGGUGUAGCGGUGAAAUGCGUAGAUAUCAGGAAGAACACCGGUGGCGAAGGCGGCCAUCUGGACGGAUACUGACGCUCAGGUGCGAAGGCUAGGGGAGCAAACAGGAUUAGAUACCCCAGUAGUC
rnacentral:rRNA from 1 species